rnacentral:rRNA from 1 species
UACGGGGGGGGGCAAGCGUUGUCCGGAAUUAUUGGGCGUAAAGAGCGUGUAGGCGGCCAGGUAGGUGGGUUGUGAAAACUGGAGGCUCAACCUUCAGACGUCGACCCAAACCCCCCUGGCUAGAGUCCGGAAGAGGAGAGUGGAAUUCCUGGUGUAGCGGUGAAAUGCGCAGAUAUCAGGAAGAACACCCGUGGCGAAGGCGGCUCUCUGGGACGGUACUGACGCUGAGACGCGAAAGCGUGGGGAGCGAACAGG